CUCACUUAGAGAUGAGUCCGCGUACCAUUAGCUAGUUGGUGGGGUAAUGGCCUACCAAGGCGACGAUGGUUAGCUGGUCUGAGAGGAUGAUCAGCCACACUGGAACUGAGACACGGACCAGACUCCUACGGGAGGCAGCAGUGAGGAAUAUUGGUCAAUGGGCGGAAGCCUGAACCAGCCAUGCCGCGUGCGGGAUGAAGGCCCUACGGGUUGUAAACCGCUUUUCCCCGGGAAGAAUAACCCCGACGCGUCGGGGGAUGCCGGUACCGGGGGAAUAAGGAUCGGCUAACUCCGUGCCAGCAGCCGCGGUAAUACGGAGGAUCCGAGCGUUAUCCGGAUUUACUGGGUUUAAAGGGUGCGUAGGCGGCCCUGCAAGUCAGCGGUGAAAUGUGGCGGCUCAACCGUUUCGCUGCCGCUGAUACUGUGGGGCUUGGAUGCGGUCGAGGCGGGUGGAAUUCGUGGUGUAGCGGUGAAAUGCAUAGAUGUCACGAGGAACGCCGAUAGCGAAGGCAGCUCGCCGGGCCGCGAUCGACGCUGAGGCACGAAAGCGUGGGGAUCAAACAGGAUUAGAUACCCUGGUAGUCCACGCCGUAAACGAUGAUGGCUGGGUGUGCGCCCGCGAGGGCGCGUGCCUGAGGGAAACCAUUAAGCCAUCCACCUGGGGAGUACGGCCGCAAGGCUGAAACUCAAAGGAAUUGACGGGGGCCCGCACAAGCGGAGGAACAUGUGGUUUAAUUCGAUGAUACGCGAGGAACCUUACCUGGGCUCGAACGCUUCUGGAAUCACGCCGAAAGGCGUGAGCCGGCAACGGCCGGGAGCGAGGUGCUGCAUGGUUGUCGUCAGCUCGUGCCGUGAGGUGUCGGGUUAAGUCCCAUAACGAGCGCAACCCCUACCGCCAGUUGCCAGCGGGUGAAGCCGGGGACUCUGGCGGGACUGCCGGCGUAAGCCGAGAGGAAGGCGGGGAUGACGUCAAAUCAGCACGGCCCUUACGUCCAGGGCUACACACGUGUUACAAUGGCCGGUACAGAGGGAGGCGACCCCGCGAGGGGGAGCGGAUCCCGAAAGCCGGUCGUAGUUCGGAUCGGGGUCUGGAACCCGACCCCGUGAAGCCGGAUUCGCUAGUAAUCGCGCAUCAGCCAUGGCGCGGUGAAUACGUUCCCGGGCCUUGUACUCACCGCCCGUCAAG
rnacentral:rRNA from 1 species